rnacentral:rRNA from 1 species
GAUGAACGCUGGCGGUAUGCUUAACACAUGCAAGUCGAACGGGGUUCAUAGUCACCUCGUGGCGGACGGGUGAGUAACGCGUGAGAAUCUGGCCUCAGGUCCGGGACAACCACGGGAAACGGUGGCUAAUACCGGAUGUGCCAUAUUGGUGAAAGAUUAAUUGCCUGAGGAUGAGCUCGCGUCUGAUUAGCUAGUUGGUGGGGUAAAGGCUUACCAAGGCGACGAUCAGUAACUGGUCUGAGAGGAUGACCAGUCACACUGGGACUGAGACACGGCCCAGACUCCUACGGGAGACAGCAGUGGGGAAUUUUCCGCAAUGGGCGAAAGCCUGACGGAGCAAUACCGCGUGAGGGAGGAAGGCUCUUGGGUUGUAAACCUCUUUUCUCAGGGAAGAAGAAUGACGGUACCUGAGGAAUCAGCAUCGGCUAACUCCGUG